GCCGGGGACCCCGAGAAACGAAAUGGCACGAACCAGGUCAGAACCGGAAGGUGGCAGCCUUAAGAGCCCUCUUUUGUGUUUUGGGUAACUCUCCGGCCUU
rnacentral:SRP_RNA from 1 species